GAUGAACGCUGGCGGCGUGCCUAAUACAUGCAAGUCGAGCGAACAGACGAGGAUCUUGCUCCUCUGACGUUAGCGGCGGACGGGUGAGUAACACGUGGAUAACCUACCUAUAAGACUGGGAUAACUUCGGGAAACCGGAGCUAAUACCGGAUAAUAUAUUGAACCGCAUGGUUCAAUAGUGAAAGACGGUUUUGCUGUCACUUAUAGAUGGAUCCGCGCCGCAUUAGCUAGUUGGUAAGGUAACGGCUUACCAAGGCAACGAUGCGUAGCCGACCUGCGAGGGUGAUCGGCCACACUGGAACUGAGACACGGUCCAGACUCCUACGGGAGGCAGCAGGAGGGAAUCUUCCGCAAUGGGCGAAAGCCUGACGGAGCAACGGCGCGUGAGUGAUGAAGGUCUUCGGAUCGUAAAACUCUGUUAUUAGGGAAGAACAAAUGUGUAAGUAACUAUGCACGUCUAGGCGGUACCUAAUCAGAAAGCCACGGCUAACUACGUG
rnacentral:rRNA from 1 species